UCUGUAAUUGGAAACAGUAGAUAAAGAUGCAGUUAAUCAACUUGAUAUUAUUAUGAUGUAUAUAUAUUUAGUAUUCUUGUUUGUUUGUCUAUUUCAGUAAAUAGAAUGAGAAGGUGAAUCUGCGAUGACUACACCGCUGGAGAUUCAUGGAAAUGAAACUGGACUAGAAGGGCAAAUUGAUGCCAUUCAUAUUUCUCCUAAAUUCACUUGUGCUAAGAUAUGGAGAGCAUAAUUGAAUGAUGAUGAUAUUGGAUUUAUCUUAAGAUGUAAAGAGAUAUUUUGAGAAUGAAGAUACUUAAUUAUAUUGUUUGUUAUUGUGUAAAGAUUCUGUAAAUAAUAAGAAAAUAUGCAUUCAGCUACUGGUUGCUGGGUCAGCAACUUGGAAAGAGGGGGAUAGUGUGACGGAUAUAUGAAAAUGAUCUUUCUCUUUCUUACUCUUUCUCUUUAUAUAUUCAAUACUUGUAAAUAUUGUGACCAUUAUAAAUAUAAAAUGUCUUUUAUAGUCGUUACUUAUUUGUGACAUGUUUUUAACGGAUUGCUCUGAACGGGAGACUAGUCUACAAGUAGCAUGUGCUCUUUGUUUAUCAACAAUGCUUAAUUUAUUCCACUAUUGAUCGAUAACUUAAUAUUCAUGUAUUAUUCAUUAGUUUAAGGCGCGAUCCAAGGUGCGCAGCCAAUUAAAUGAUUGUAUAUGCGCGUACGGCUUUCUUUUCCAUGCGCGACCCAACCAGUAUAAAUAGUCCGCGCGUGGGUUACUGGGUUACCCAGGUACGUGACUGACAGCUUUUUACAGGCUAGUACGCGACUACAGUUUUAUUUGCAGGGUAUUACGCGAAAGACUAUGAAUAUUUGGAAAGGAAGGCUUCGGUCCUUCGUGACCUAAUAAGGCCAGAAAGUCACCAGUGCCUCCGUAGUUUAAUUCAUAUAUUUAAUAUUGUAUAACGCUUAAACUUAUAACACAUGUAUUCGCCUAUCUAGAGGGCGUGAUACUCCGUAGAUCGUAUAAUGAUGUUUUAAUGAACUUGAUAUUGUAUAUAGAUAUUGUAUAGAAAGUGUAUAAAGGAUCGAGAGAGUUGGAGAAACAACUUUGUCGUAUAUCUAUAGUUUAUUAUCUACAUUUAUUUAAUGCAUAUAUAACAGUUUAUUACAGACAUGAGUGUAACUCCCCCCCCCCCCCCCCCCCCCUUUCUCCUUCUUCGUCCUGUCUUGGAAGGGACAGUGUGUCCUUCAACCUGGAAUGGACACAGAACGUUAUAUGUAUAGACAAUGCAUGGGCUUGUCUUGGAGGACACAGUGUCCUUAGAUUUGGACAUGGACACAGUGUCUCUUUUCUUCCCCCCCCCUUCUUACUCAUUUGAAUUGCACUCAUUAUUGUAUAUAGCAUGACAUGUAUAUUAAUAGAAUGACAUUGAAUAGUGGACAGUUGAAUAUGUACACUCGUAGUUAAUUAAUUAAAUAGCUGCAUUUACGAGCCUAUCUAAAUCAGGCAAUUAUUACUUUACUACAUAAUUAAGAGGUGCGAACUUAAGACAGUAAGGGACGAAUUCAAUGGAAUGCCGGUUAUCUUUGAAUUUAGAAAGUCAAAUCUUAUACAAGUAUAUUCUGGAGUAAGUUAUAACUAGGAGAUAAAUACUCGAGGCUAGUUUAUAACAGUGAUGAUGGAUUUAUAUAGGUACAAUGUUUAACCGACAGAGUGUGUUAGCUUGUUACUUAAUAAAGGAGUGGAUAGACUUUUGAAAUCCUGGUCGGAAGGGUGUAUUGGUUUAAAUGUUUCAUUCUUGUAGAAUGGGGACGAUAGGGACACAUUGGCCAAAGGUGUCGGGCGCAGGUAGAUAGUUGUUUCAAGGGGUAGGAGUACCGAGAAUACUAGUAGUCGGUCAGAAUAGAGUUACUUGUAAUAGGAGUUAGAAAGAAAUGCUAACUUUGGUUUGAUAGCCAUGGUGGUUUGUAAAGUUCGUUAGAAAAGCCUCUAUCUAAGUUCAGUAAGUUUAUACAUGUACAUUAUUUAAAUCGUAUGCAGUCUAUACUAGUCAAUUAAGUGUUGACAUCCUGUAAAUAUGAAGCUAAGAAAUACUGUAUAAAUUAUAUAAGCAGUAAACAUUUAUUACAAUAAUUAAUUAAUGUAUAUCUAGUAGCAAUCAGUAAGUUAGUAAGUUCAUGGAA